UUGGACUAGAACUUUGAAUGC
ensembl:piRNA 21ur-3743 ncRNA